GAUUUAUUUGAAUUGAUUUGGAUUAAUUUUAGUUAUUUGAAUUAAUUUAAAAUAUUUGGAUUUAUUUGAAUAAUUUGGAUUAAAACUAGAACAUGUAUUGUCAAUACAGGUUUGGACUUGUACUGUCAAUAGAAAAAAUUCAUGGACGCCACCGAGCUCGUCCUGGAUAGGAUCCUCUACAAGCCAAUCAACCAAACAGAUAUUUAUUGUUGAUUAGGAAAAGAAGAGCAGCAGCGAGUAGCAGGAAAAGAAGAGCAGCAGCAGAGAGAGGUGCAGAGCAAGGGAAAGGAGCGUUUGAUAAGGAGAACUGCAAGAUUUGAUAGACAUAAUGUCCUGUUUUUUUAGUAGGAGCACAUUUCACAUACAUUUUGGAGUACUCUUACUAGCUUCUUGUUAAAUCUGAAUGAAUGAUCUGUCCUGAAUAUUGUAUAGAGAACAAAUUUAUUUGGAUUAAUUUGAAUUAAUCAGAAUAAUUUGAAAUUUUUGGUCACUACAGGGCAACUACACUACUAUACAUGGCCACUACACCGCUCCAUGUCGGUGCUGUUCAGAAACAAACUUGGCUGAAAAUUCAGUCAUUCUAAAAUUUGCUUCAGUCAGUGUACUCCUAAAAUUCAGUAAACAACUACUCUGCAUACAUGCUGGAGAUCAACAUCAACAGCUACUCUGCAUAUUUUCCAAGAUGUUUCAAAGAUAUGCACACUACUGUACUUGACGGAGUAUGUCUAACAUUUGUAGCUACACUCAUUUAUAAGAAGAACACAUUUUUUCAGAAUAAACCUAAAACUUCACUGGAACUAGACUUCACUGAUAAGAAUAAACCUGAAGGACAGGAAACUUCACUUGAACUAAAACUGAAUUUGUGAUACACACAACAAACAGAACUUUUUUGCAUCUAAGAAAACCUCAUGGAUUGUCCUAAAUAAUCCGUGUCAAUAAUUAUGGUACUAACUGAUUGGCAACAGUUUCUUUUGGUGCACAAUUCAAACAGAAAAAUGACAGUACAAGCAGAUCUUCGGUACUCCAAUUUCUUUCAGUUUUGACAGCUUAUUUUCAGUUUCAAAAUGGAAAAUACACUUCUUCAGCACUCUAAUUUUACAAACUGAAAAUAGCAGCACCAAGAAUUGAGUAUAACAUGAUUGUUGUGAAUUGCCAAAUACUCCUACAGGUCAACAUGUGUAUCAACUUUAUUGGCAAUAAUUUUGUUGAUCAACAUGAACUACAGGUCACUGUUAUCCUUUGUACUAGAGCAUCUCUGUAUAAUACAGACCUGAGUAUAACAAGAGCAUCAACUACCAAAGCAUGAACUUGACUACAUCUUCAAAUAAUUACUGAAGCACAUGAACUUGAGUUUACUCAGAAAAGUGGUACCUUUUCACUCAGAGUUGAUUUGUUAGCAAUCGAUUUACUAGCUAGCUCGUCUUGUUUGGCAGCAAUAAUCUGGAUCUGGAGCGCAGGGAAGAAGAAAAUAAGCUGCAGAUCUAAUCGAGGAGGAGGAGGUGGGGAACAGCAAGGAAAUCUGGUCUUACGUGGAGCGUGCGGGCAGCGAACUCGACGCCGAUGGUGGACUUGGAGUCGAGGCAGAACUCCUUGCGGGUGAUGUGGGAGAGUAGAUUGGACUUUCCCACCACAGAGUCGCCAGUCAGCACCGCUCCGGCGAGCACCUCCACCUUGAGCGCGUAGCCGUCCGAGGAGUGGAAAAGGGGCACCUAUGCUUUCUAGUGCUCUGGUCGACGGCGUCCUGGAGGGGGCGAGCUUCGUGGUCGAAGGCGGGGAGGUGGUUGACGAUGGACAGAGGCGGAAGGAGAGCGAGGACUCCGGACAGUGGUCUCCGAAAAAUCGAACCUUCACGGCCGGCGAGCGGAGGGGAACGAGGCGGCGGGCGGAGAGGNNNNNNNNNNNNNNNNNNNNNNNNNNNNNNNNNNNNNNNNNNNNNNNNNNNNNNNNNNNNNNNNNNNNNNNNNNNNNNNNNNNNNNNNNNNNNNNNNNNNNNNNNNNNNNNNNNNNNNNNNNNNNNNNNNNNNNNNNNNNNNNNNNNNNNNNNNNNNNNNNNNNNNNNNNNNNNNNNNNNNNNNNNNNNNNNNNNNNNNNNNNNNNNNNNNNNNNNNNNNNNNNNNNNNNNNNNNNNNNNNNNNNNNNNNNNNNNNNNNNNNNNNNNNNNNNNNNNNNNNNNNNNNNNNNNNNNNNNNNNNNNNNNNNNNNNNNNNNNNNNNNNNNNNNNNNNNNNNNNNNNNNNNNNNNNNNNNNNNNNNNNNNNNNNNNNNNNNNNNNNNNNNNNNNNNNNNNNNNNNNNNNNNNNNNNNNNNNCCGGCGUCGGAGAAGAGUGAGGAAGGAGACAGAGGACCGCGAGUUUGGUCGGGAAAACCACGAGGGCUAAAUUGCAAAAAUGCCGCCGCGACAUGUUUUUCGGGGCGGAGGGAGUAUCAAUCAAGUGAUUUAUCUCUACUAUUAAAGGGGGAUCGAACGUCGUGAUGGUUCGACCUCCCCUCGACCACCUCGUUCGAUCCCCACCUAUCUUCACACGCUCACGCCGUAAAAAAAACUGGAAAAUCAGAAGAGAAAAAGGCACCCACGAAGCCACGACCGACGCCCUCGUCGCUCGAUAAAAGGAAAGAGAAAAACUGAAUAGGAAAGAAAAAACCCACGUACACAAGCCCCACCUCCCACGCCCCAUCUUUCCCUAACCCCUCGCCCCAAUCCCGCGACUCCUCCCGAGAAAGAACGCCACCGCCGGCCUCCUCCAAUCUCGCGACUCCUCCGGAGAAAAAAUGUCGACGCCGGCCUACUCCUUCACCGCUCAACUUGGCAUCAACAGCCCUCUCACACGCAGUCUCUCUUUUCCUCGCCAUAGACCCCUGCUACGCCUCCGUCCUCAAUCCCUUUGCUCCGGUUUCCACGGCAGAGAACGAAAUCGGCACCUGCGAUAGCGCCCUCACUAAGGCUUAUGGCCCGGCUCCACCUGUCCUCUCACCGGAGCAAUCGGCGAACCAAGACCGCCGACCCGCGAGACGUGCGUACAACAGCUCGGCUAGACGACCAAAGGCAAGGUUGGAUAGCCCCACCUCGACCACUUCAUCCCACCGACUAUCGUCAUCGUCAUCGUCCUCGUCCUCCACGUGAACGACGACCUCGAGCGGUAGCACAUCGCAGCCUGCGAAAUUAGAUGGAGUGGCAGAUCCGUGCCCUAUCCGGUAAAUUUCACGAUAACCAUUAUCUUCCUUCAAACGCUAAUUUCAGACUGGUCACAAUCUUCAGCCAGAGUAUAUUUCUAGACUAUUAGACGCCAUCAAUUUAACAGUUGGUGAAAGGUCACCCAUUUUUAUGUUUCUGCUUCCAGUUCCUGCCAUAAAAAAUGUGAUAUGUUGUUCCUUGCAUGCAUGGUAAUUGUUUGCAGGGCAGUGUUUAUAUGACAUUGCGUAGAACAAGAAUCAACAUAACUCCUUUCUAAUGGUUCUAUGCAACAAAAAAAUUCCUUCAACAAUGUCGGUUUGUUUAAUCCAUCGCCGGAGUACAAACCCAUCGAAACUGUAAUGGUAGCAGUGGAGGUGGCCGCGUCGGAGCAGGUCCUACAUUGUUCAUGGAUGGAGACGAUGGGUGGCGCGACCAUAAAUUCUCCGACGAGGCUUCAAGUCACUUGGAUAGGAACGUCAUUAGAGGGCAUGCAUCAGUUGUAGGAACGAUCUAAGGCAACAAAAUUCAUAGGGAAAGCAUCAGCUGACUGACAAUAGCUAGAAUGGCGUGCACACAAGACCAAAUAAUCAAAAUUCUGCAGUUUUGCCUUUGCUGCCGGCCCAAGCAUCAUCACCUUCUGGACUGAAACCAAAGGCAUGGGUCUGCAGUACCCAUUGUCCAAGUCCACAACAAUCAAAGGGGGAUCGAACGUCGUGAUGGUUCGACCUCCCCUCGACCACCUCGUUCGAUCCCCACCUAUCUCCGCACGCUCACGCCGUAAAAAAAACUGGAAAAUCAGAAGAGAAAAAGGCACCCACGAAGCCACGAUCGACGCCCUCGUCGCUCGAUAAAAGGAAAGAGAAAAACUGAAUAGGAAAGAAAAAGCCCACGUACACAAGCCCCACCUCCCACGCCCCAUCUUUCCCUAACCCCUCGCCCCAAUCCCGCGACUCCUCCCGAGAAAGAACGCCACCGCCGGCCUCCUCCAAUCUCGCGACUCCUCCGGAGAAAAAACGUCGACGCCGGCCUACUCCUUCACCGCUCAACUUGGCAUCAACAGCCCUCUCACACGCAGUCUCUCUUUUCCUCGCCAUAGACCCCUGCUACGCCUCCGUCCUCAAUCCCUUUGCUCCGGUUUCCACGGCAGAGAACGAAAUCGGCACCUGCGACGGCGCCCUCACUGAGGCUUAUGGCCCGGCUCCACCUGUCCUCUCACCGGAGCAAUCGGCGAACCAAGACCGCCGACCCGCGAGACGUGCGUACAACAGCUCGGCUAGAAGACCAAAGGCAAGGUUGGAUAGCCCCACCUCGACCACUUCAUCCCACCGACUAUCGUCAUCGUCAUCGUCCUCGUCCUCCACGUGAACGACGACCUCGAGCGGUAGCACAUCGCAGCCUGCGAAAUUAGAUGGAGUGGCAGAUCCGUGCCCUAUCCGGUAAAUUUCACGAUAACCAUUAUCUUCCUUCAAACGCUAAUUUCAGACUGGUCACAAUCUUCAGCCAGAGUAUAUUUCUAGACUAUUAGACGCCAUCAAUUUAACAGUUGGUGAAAGGUCACCCAUUUUUAUGUUUCUGCUUCCAGUUCCUGCCAUAAAAAAUGUGAUAUAUUGUUCCUUGCAUGCAUGGUAAUUGUUUGCAGGGCAGUGUUUAUAUGACAUUGCGUAGAACAAGAAUCAACAUAACUCCUUUCUAAUGGUUCUAUGCAACAAAAAAAUUCCUUCAACAAUGUCCGUUUGUUUAAUCCAUCGCCGGAGUACAAACCCAUCGAAACUGUAAUGGUAGCAGUGGAGGUGGCCGCGUCCGAGCAGGUCCUACAUUGUUCAUGGAUGGAGACGAUGGGUGGCGCGACCAUAAAUUCUCCGACGAGGCUUCAAGUCACUGACAAUAGCUAGAUUGGCGUGCACACAAGACCAAAUAAUCAAAAUUCUGCAGUUUUGCCUUUGCUGCCGGCCCAAGCAUCAUCACCUUCUGGACUGAAACCAAAGGCAUGGGUCUGCAGUACCCAUUGUCCAAGUCCACAACAAUCGUAGGUGUUGGUGUUGCAAAACUGCAGGGGCCCUCAUUACAAAAUAGACUCACUCUGGGCUCAUCUUAGAUCAGUGCUUAUUGUAUCUCCUUUGCUCGGUCUUUAUUUGGUUCUAAUGGAACAACUUCCAGUACAAUAAAAGAAGAAAGAAUCAUCCCUUGACUUGCAGGUUCUCCAUGCAAGGGCAAACAAAUGUUUUGAUACAGAACAACAGUUGUAAGUGCUACUGUUUGUAUGCCCAAUUUGGUUAUCUCUUAUUUUCUGUAUGACUAUAUUAUCGUUGUAUUAAUAUUUAGGUGGAAAGUGGAAUUAAGCGAGGUCUGAGUGAUCUUUGAAUUGUUAUUUCUCAUAUGGUUUCUCCUCUUCUCUCUACUUGAUUUAUUAUGUACACAACUUCUUUUGUUUCCUUAAGGAACCAUAUAUGAACCAGUACGUACAUAACUCAUUUAGCGUGUUAUGUCUCUACAAAUAAUUUAUUACCUUUGUUUUUACACCUAUUUGUUUCCUGAAUAACUAAUCCAAUUCUGUUUUCACCUUCCGACCACGGGAUAUUGGACAUGGCAUUAUGACCCUGCUCCUGAUUAUUCAACCAACAAUACCCGCCUAAUCAUUUUAGGAGAUAAUUGCAUGGCUGUAACCAUGUAGUCAUGUUGGAAUCUUCCAAGUGUGAAGAAAUGUUAAUGCAUCUGCAUACACAGAUGAAGCAUAGUUGCUUACAUUUCAUCUCCUAUAAUUAGGUCACAACAGCAUAACACUGUGCAUGUGAGGAUUACAUUUUUCUUUCAAAGAAGAAGAUCCAUGGGAAGUGUUUCGGCUUAUGGCCAGUGUGAAAAUCAUCGCCUCGUUGUCAUUAGCCGAUUACCAGCUUUCGACAUGUAACAUUUGUCCAGAUAGUUUCCAACAUGUAAUAUUUUCCCAUAUAGUUUUCACAUGUAACAAUUUGCUGGAGAGCUUUCAACAUGUUUUCAGUAGCACAUGUUGGAAACUAUCUGGGCACCAUAGUGUUACUCCUGGAGGCUUAACUUUUGCAAGGCAUGUAUCUAUUCUUUCUUGUUUUGUCUGUAGAUGAUAGUCCACUUAUCCUUUUGCUUUUUACCUAUUAUAGAUCUGUCUGUGACACAAAUAUAUCAAUCUGGUUUAUGUUGUGGUUGCUUCCUAACUAAAAGGUCUUGAAUUUGAUUCUAAAAAUGUUGGAAUUUGCAGGCAUGGUCAUAUGGAUUUUAGCUCAGACCAUGCUUGAUACUUUAACAUUAGUAGCUAAUAUCUUUGGAACUUACACUUCUAAAAAUCUUCCAUGAUUUUAGGCUAGCCCAAACGUCCAUUUACUUUGGUUCCUUACUUAUAAUUAAAAAUCAUAAUUGGAUUGUGAGCUAUUUGGACAAGAGAAACUGCCAUUGGUGUUGUUAUCGAGCUAUCCAGUGCAUGGCACUGAGAAUUUCAACACGAGGGCAAAAAGGGAGGCAGUGAGAGGAUUUAAGGUGGACAACAACGGGAGUGAACGGACCGUAGCUAGAAGACAUGGACGGGAUGGUGCCGUCAUCAUGUCCUCCAACUUCUAGAAAAGGAGAAAGUGGAUCGGUGUGCUCCGAAAUUAGAAGUGCAUUGUUAUUAUUUUUUUAAAGUAUCCUUGUAUUUGCAAUUUGUUUGCUGGAAGCAACUCUGUAAUAGUUUAAUAAGUGAUAAGUAGCUAUUUGCUUUGCUUUUACUUCCAUAUGGUGUCAAAGCACAUUUCAAGUUGAAGAGGAAUCCUAAUGUUUACUGUAAGAUGAUUUUUUGCACACAUGCAUUUUUAUGUCAAUUUGGAUGUGCAUUAUGUUUAUGCGAUCGGCAAGGAAAGAAACUUGACUGUCAUGAGGCGAUUGCCCGUACAAUGGUAGCAAGUUUAAGCCGAUAUUUGUCCCGAUGCAUUCGUAAGCACAUGAUUGUGAAUUACAAUGACAUUUUUAUCAAUGUCCCUAUACAUUUUUUUGUCCCGUAGCAACGCAUGCCAUUUUUAUCAACGCCGUACAAUGGUGGCAAGUUUAAGCCGAUAUUUGUGCAGAUGCAUCCGUAAGCACAGGCUUGUGAAUUACAAAAACACUUUUAUCAUUUUUCCUACACAUGAUUUUUUUUUGUCUCGUAGCAACGCAUGCCAUUUCUAUCAACGUUCUUAUACAUUAGUUUCUUGUCCCGUAGCAACGCACGGGCAUUCAACUAGUAGUAUAUAAGAAGGAAAAAACUGAAAAGAAAAUUUAUGUAUAAAUCUUCAUGCAAAAUCAAAGGAAUAUAGCAUUGGCCGAGACUAAUUAAGUCUCUAAGACAUAACGUAGCAGAACUGUUUUUAUUUCUAGUUUGUAGAUGAUAGAUGCUUAAUUAGACACUAUUGUAGAGACAAGCAUUAUAGUGCUUUAAAAACUUAAUUUAUUUUAUUAAACACAUUCCUAAGCAUUGCCCAAGGCCUAAUCAAAAUAGAGCAUAAAAUUGGAGUAAUACUGAAAGUUGAAAUUAUUCGAAAUUCCAAAAAAAAUGCACAAGUUAUAUUAUUUAUAGGCACAAUGUUCUGUUUGUUCCAGUUGCAAGUUUUAGUCUUUCUAGGCGCAAUCUCAAUCGCGGACAUUUUUCAAGUAAUACUGAAAUUCAAAAUUAUUCAAAAUUUCAAAAAAAAGUGCACACACCUACAUAUUUUUCGAUAGAUAAGUGAGAAAGGUUUAAGUACAGAAAAGCCAUCGCAAUAACGAGGCAAAUCUACAGAGCAGAAGAAGGCAACUACCGCCCAUCCAACGGUAAUUGCACUGACGCUCUUGCUAAAAUCAGCCUCAAAGUUACUUAUCGAAAUUGCUGCUACGAUCACUUGGCCAUCCCCGAUUGUAUCCAUAGACAUCCAUGGUGGCAGCUACUCCAUAAUAUCCACCGUCACUGCUUUUCAUAUAAAUAGCCUCCUGAAAUUAAUACGUAACGCUAGAUUAGUCAGUAAAUAUUCUCACAAAAAAAAUAUUAGUCGUAAAUAGAGGGCCAAGCAAAGGAACUAGCGUUUGGCUGAUUAGUGCCAACAUGCUUGGGUGGGAGCUCAAUGUAUGGGAGCUGAAGAUGAACGGAGCUCAGUGAACGUGAUAAACUUGAUGCUUUCGCUUCCAUGCUGGCACCCGCAUUUAAACAGUUACUAUUGAAAGGAGGGAGUAUGAAGUUUGAACUUUCAAAACAAGAUGAAAACUAGCACACCAAUCAGCGGUUAGAAGAUGAUACGUCCAGUGUAUCUAAGCCUGAACUGUACGCCGACCGACGCAAUGUUCCGUCUGUUCCAGGUGAAGUUUUAGUCCGCCUUUGGUUAAAAGAAAAGUUUCAAUCACGGACAUACAUGGUAGCAGCAUUUAUAGACAUGACCUGAACGAUAAUAGAAUCCUAACUUAAACCUAAAGACGCCAACAAACUUGGUACGCCAACAAACUUGGUAUAAUCAAACACAAGCUCUACAUGGCUCCAUCUACCCAGGGCACUCCAUCAGGGAUGCCGCCGCCACUAUCUAACACAGGACCGAUCCAAUAACAUUAAUAAAAAUGAAAUUCAAUAAAAUUCCUUGUUUUGUAGAAAAAAAAUUAAAGUACAAAGGAUUAUACUUUCUGUAGGCUAACAAAUAUCAUAAAAUUUGAGUAAAACUUAGAGACAACCGUGGUAAACAUUGAGAAAACAAAGUGACAGAAAACAUAAGAGAAAGAAAUCCAAGGAAAAAAAUAGAAACAACAGGACCGAUCCAGCAAUUAACACCACAACAAAAAAAAGCAUAAACACAGAAUCAAAGUAAUAUAAAGGUACAGUAGAAAUACCAACAAACUAAUAAUAUACUUAGACGUGAGACAUCAUAACCCUUGAUCCACUACCACGAAUGUUGCAACUCGCACGGAAUAACUCCGACCACUCGGAAGCAAAACAAUAACCACCACAACCUCAAGUCUCAGAUAACACAGACACGGUAUAAUAAGCAGCAGGCUUCGCCGCCUCUGCAACAGAACAACUGACUGUUUAGUCGACCUCCUCGAUCUU
rnacentral:lncRNA from 1 species